GCACAAUACAUUGGAGUGUGGAGUGGAUGGGAGUAGUAGUGGACAGGAUGUAAGUGGUAGUCAUAGUGUUCACAGUGGCCUGACCUCACUCCUAGGGCUGGUGCCGUAACGAGGGGGUUGCACUUGAGAUGAUUCGAUUUCCCGUCGCAUUAUACACCUCUUGUCUCCAGGGGAUAUAACCACUGCUUCAGGACGUGAGCUGCUGCGCAUGCGCGCUUAUGUGCACUCCCACAGUCCCAGCCACCAUUUUUUUUUCUAUAGUGUGCAAGCACGACCACCACUGAUGGAUUCCAGGGUGGUCGUAAACC